AAGGGGGAUUCCACUCAUGAAACUGGUAUUUUUCCCAUAUAUAUUACACUCUUCGGAAUACAAAUGCACCCGACUUUUGACUAAAUCACCACGACUGACUUUUCGACCAAACACUGCUCUAAACCUAUGAACCCCCAUACGGGACCGCUUCCAAUUCUCGGCUUUGACCUGACGUCACGGGUUUUCCAAAUAUGGGCAUCCGCACAGAUCAAAACACGAAGCAGACGACAAAGUGUCAUGGCGGACUCAGGCGGCCGUGGCUCAGACUAGUUCGACCCAGACUACAUUAUGCCAUACGCAUAUGAGCCUGAACGUGAUUCUGGAGAGUCGGAGAGUAGCGAUGAGAACAAUCAGCCUGCAGAAGCCUUUGCUGGGACCGCCACGCAACCAGAGGCGGCAUGAGACGGCCGGGAUUACGAGACGGAGGGUUGCAUGCAUGCUAGCGCCAAGAAGCAUAUGGUGCAGAUGCGAUGACUACAACUGCAGCCUACAGUGUGUGAGUGUAUGUGUUGUCACGACCUUCGUGAGCUGACAGAUCCCGUGGACCACAUCAACCCCGAUCGCAGCGGUAUGGGCGUCGGGAGCGGCCGUAGCCAGCUGAAAUGCGUCAAGCUACACGAGGAAUUCCAUCCCGUUUCAUGAGGUCUUCACUGAAAACUGCACUUAUAUUAUCUACAGUGACAAAAUGACUUGGACUGGAAGAUGUCAGGGAGCCAUUGAGAAAUAGAAUCUUACAACUGUCAGCGUACAGACAGUUUUCGUGCUGGGUCCACAAGAAUCAUCUUGGGAGAUCAGUGUGGCGCGUGGUUCCAGCCUGUGCAGUCACCAAAAUAAGACAGACUUAUCCCUCUAAAGAUGAGACUAAUUACAUAGGACAUUUUCCUGUUAAGAUAUUUCGCCACCACAUGUUCAAUUGCUAAAUUGAUCUGACGUUAAACCAGGGAGUGAUCCAUAAAUCUGUAUUCUACUAACUUUUUACUGUUAGGGUUAUCCAUUCUUGUUAAGCUUGGGGUUAGAAUUAGAAUUAGGGUGAGGCUUUACUGCUAAAAUAAAACAAUCUUGAUAACAGUGUUACACAGUUUCCACAUUAUUUGCACUAUAA